UCUCCAUUUAUUCCGUCUGUGGAAAUGGCCUGUGUGAGGGAACGCAGAGCUACUCCCUGUACCCAGCUCCUUGGGGAACGUCUACUUUCGGCGAGAAAAAUGAGGCACAAAAAGCUGGAGUGCUUUGCCCUAGGUUACAGGCCAUUGGCAUCUGGAUCUGUAGAUAUUUCUAGAUUUCAAAUGGAUUCUUUGGUCGACCUUCAACACAUACGUUAAAUCCAUGGUUCUCAGCCAUGCUAUUAAGAUGCACUGGUGUGGGGCAAUGAGUUGUGAGGUGCCAGUAAUUAAUAAUAGUUAAAGUAAUCUGGAUUGGUGCACCUGGGAAUUUCAGAAUUGACAGCUGGGACUUCUUUGCCUCUACCAGAGCCUCAGUGAAGGGAAUGGGGCGUGCAGUGCAUUCUAUUUGUAGCUAAAUGGCCUCAAUCUUAUCUCUGCCCCAAGCAGUAAACUCCAGUGA
rnacentral:lncRNA from 1 species